rnacentral:rRNA from 1 species
GACGAACGCUGGCGGCGUGCCUAAUACAUGCAAGUAGAACGCACAGUUUAUACCGUAGCUUGCUACACCAUAGACUGUGAGUUGCGAACGGGUGAGUAACGCGUAGGUAACCUGCCUGGUAGCGGGGGAUAACUAUUGGAAACGAUAGCUAAUACCGCAUAAUAUUAAUUAUUGCAUGAUAAUUAAUUGAAAGGUGCAAUUGCACCACUACCAGAUGGACCUGCGUUGUAUUAGCUAGUAGGUGAGGUAACGGCUCACCUAGGCGACGAUACAUAGCCGACCUGAGAGGGGGAUCGGCCACACUGGGACUGAGACACGGCCCAGACUCCUACGGGAGGCAGCAGUAGGGAAUCUUCGGAAAUGGACGAAAGUCUGACCGAGCAACGCCGCGUGAGUGAAGAAGGUUGUCGGAUCGUAAAGCUCUGUUGUAAGAGAAGAACGGGUGUGAGAGUGGAAAGUUCACACUGUGACGGUAUCUUACCAGAAAGGGACGGCUAACUACGUG